UACGUAGGGUGCGAGCGUUGUCCGGAAUUACUGGGCGUAAAGAGCUCGUAGGUGGUUUGUCGCGUUGUCCGUGAAAACUCACAACUCAAUUGUGGGCGUGCGGGCGAUACGGGCAGACUGGAGUACUGCAGGGGAGACUGGAAUUCCUGGUGUAGCGGUAGAAUGCGUAGAGAUCCGGAAGAACACCGGUGGCGAAGGCGGUGAGCUGGGCAGUAGCUGACACUGAGGCGCGACAGCGUGGGGAGCAAACAGG
rnacentral:rRNA from 1 species